AGAGUUUGAUCCUGGCUCAGGACGAACGUUGGCGGCGUGCUUAACACAUGCAAGUCGAGCGGAAAGGCCUCUUCGGGGGUACUCGAGCGGCGAACGGGUGAGUAACACGUGAGUAACCUGCCCCAGGCUUUGGGAUAACCCUCGGAAACGGGGGCUAAUACCGGAUAUGACAUGUCAUCGCAUGGUGGUGUGUGGAAAGUUUUUUCGGCCUGGGAUGGGCUCGCGGCCUAUCAGCUUGUUGGUGGGGUGAUGGCCUACCAAGGCGAUGACGGGUAGCCGGCCUGAGAGGGCGACCGGCCACACUGGGACUGAGACACGGCCCAGACUCCUACGGGAGGCAGCAGUGGGGAAUAUUGCACAAUGGGCGGAAGCCUGAUGCAGCGACGCCGCGUGAGGGAUGAAGGCCUUCGGGUUGUAAACCUCUUUCAGCAGGGACGAAGCGUUUUGUGACGGUACCUGCAGAAGAAGCGCCGGCCAACUACGUGCCAGCAGCCGCGGUAAGACGUAGGGCGCGAGCGUUGUCCGGAUUUAUUGGGCGUAAAGGGCUCGUAGGCGGCUUGUCGCGUCGACUGUGAAAACCCGUGGCUCAACUGCGGGCUUGCAGUCGAUACGGGCAGGCUAGAGUUCGGUAGGGGAGACUGGAAUUCCUGGUGUAGCGGUGAAAUGCGCAGAUAUCAGGAGGAACACCGGUGGCGAAGGCGGGUCUCUGGGCCGAUACUGACGCUGAGGAGCGAAAGCGUGGGGAGCGAACAGGAUUAGAUACCCUGGUAGUCCACGCUGUAAACGUUGGGCGCUAGGUGUGGGGGGCCUCUCCGGUUUCCUGUGCCGUAGCUAACG
rnacentral:rRNA from 1 species